UACGAAGGGGGCUAGCGUUGCUCGGAAUCACUGGGCGUAAAGGGCGCGUAGGCGGCCGAUCAAGUCAGGGGUGAAAGCCUGUGGCUCAACCACAGAAUUGCCUUUGAUACUGUUCGGCUAGAGACCGGAAGAGGUGAGUGGAACUGCGAGUGUAGAGGUGAAAUUCGUAGAUAUUCGCAAGAACACCAGUGGCGAAGGCGGCUCACUGGUCCGGUUCUGACGCUGAGGCGCGAAAGCGUGGGGAGCAAACAGGAUUAGAAACCCGAGUAGUCC
rnacentral:rRNA from 1 species